CUUAUACUCCCUCCGUCCGGAAAUAGUUGUCAUCAAAAUGAAUAAAAAGGGAUGUAUCUAGAUGUAUUUUAGUUCUAGAUACAUCCCUUUUUGUCUAUUUUGAUGACAAGUAUUUUCGGACGGAGGGAGUAUUUA
rnacentral:pre_miRNA from 1 species